UUAAGUGUAGGGAUUUGGAGAUGGUGACAUGUCAUGGCUACUUGAUAGGUUUUUAAAGUUGAAGAUGAAGACUUGGUGAGUCCUCAUAGAUUCGAGGGCAAUAACCAACAUGUUCUUUUUAUGUCUCUCUAGUAUUUGCUUAAGUUUUGAGUGGGCUUAGUCCCAAUGUUAUAUUCAAGUAUUAGAUGGUUUUGAGACAUAUUGUAUAAAGUCUAGAAAGUCUUCCGCUUGCUAUUUAUUGAAAGUAUCUUCGUGUGUGAAGAAAGUUUUUAAUUCCUUAUGGUUUUGGUGUCUAUGCG